GAUGAACGCUGGCGGCGUGCUUAACACAUGCAAGUCGAACGGAAAGGCUCCUGCUUGCAGGGGCACUCGAGUGGCGAACGGGUGAGUAACACGUGGGUGAUCUGCCCUGCACUUCGGGAUAAGCCUGGGAAACUGGGUCUAAUACCGGAUAGGACCAUCGUUUAGUGUCGGUGGUGGAAAGUUUUUUCGGUGUGGGAUGAGCUCGCGGCCUAUCAGCUUGUUGGUGGGGUAAUGGCCUACCAAGGCGUCGACGGGUAGCCGGCCUGAGAGGGUGUACGGCCACAUUGGGACUGAGAUACGGCCCAGACUCCUACGGGAGGCAGCAGUGGGGAAUAUUGCACAAUGGGCGCAAGCCUGAUGCAGCGACGCCGCGUGGGGGAUGACGGCCUUCGGGUUGUAAACUCCUUUCGCCAGGGACGAAGCGAAAGUGACGGUACCUGGAUAAGAAGCACCGGCUAACUACGU
rnacentral:rRNA from 1 species